rnacentral:tRNA from 1 species
GAGGCUUUAGUAUAAAUUAGUAUAGUUUAUUUUCAAUAAAUAGGUUAAAGUCUUAU